GCCUGGGUGGCUCAGCAGGUUAAGCAGCUGACUCUUGACUUCAGCUCAGGUCGUGAUCUGAGGGUUUGUGGGUUCAAGCCCCAUGUCAGGCU
rnacentral:tRNA from 1 species